ACAAAGUUUGUUCGGGUUUUA
rnacentral:miRNA from 1 species